rnacentral:rRNA from 1 species
GGGGAAUUUUGGACAAUGGGCGCAAGCCUGAUCCAGCCAUGCCGCGUGUCUGAAGAAGGCCUUCGGGUUGUAAAGGACUUUUGUCAGGGAAGAAAAGGCUGUUGCUAAUAUCGACAGCUGAUGACGGUACCUGAAGAAUAAGCACCGGCUAACUACGUGCCAGCAGCCGCGGUAAUACGUAGGGUGCGAGCGUUAAUCGGAAUUACUGGGCGUAAAGCGAGCGCAGACGGUUACUUAAGCAGGAUGUGAAAUCCCCGGGCUCAACCUGGGAACUGCGUUCUGAACUGGGUGACUAGAGUGUGUCAGAGGGAGGUAGAAUUCCACGUGUAGCAGUGAAAUGCGUAGAGAUGUGGAGGAAUACCGAUGGCGAAGGCAGCCUCCUGGGAUAACACUGACGUUCAUGCUCGAAAGCGUGGGUAGCAAACAGGAUUAGAUACCCUGGUAGUCCACGCCCUAAACGAUGUCAAUUAGCUGUUGGGCAACUUGAUUGCUUAGUAGCGUAGCUAACGCGUGAAAUUGACCGCCUGGGGAGUACGGUCGCAAGAUUA